AUGCUUCUUUGUAGUGCCUUUUCAAAGAGAUCCUCUUGUGAUUCCAUAUUCCAAGCCCUUAUUCCCACAAGGCAACCUCGUGGCUCAUCUCCAUGGAGAGUGGCAGCCCAGCCAGCCGGGGAAGAAACGCCUUUGGCCUUCAGUUCCUUGGUGUGGCUCCGUCCCGGAUGCAAAGUUCUGUGUAACACAAGAAAUACUGCAGGAAGGAAAACUCUCCGAAUCCCAGAAUGGGCAAGGCUGGAAGCAACCACGGGGGCUCAUCUGGUGCCACCUCCCUGCUCAAGAAGGGCCAUCCUGGAGCACAUGGCACAGGAUUGUGUCCAGUCAGCUCUGGAAUAUCCCCAGUGGUUGAGACUCCACACCCUCUCUGUCACUCUGUUCCAGUGCUCGGUCACUGCACAGGGAAGUUCUUCCUCAUGUUCAGGUGAAACUUGUGGGCAUCACCUCCUGCUCUUUCCUCUUGUCUCACAGAGCAGAGCCUGGUCCCUCCUCUUGGCACCCCCCUUUAGGUAUUUAUACACAUUGAUGAGUUCCCCUCUACCCUCACUUCUCGAGGCUGACCAUGCCCAGCUCCUUCAGCCUUUCCUCCUGGGAGACAGGCUCCACUCCCUUAAUCCUCUUGGGAGGAUUUGCCCUCGGCUGUUCCUGCUCCAGCAUCGUUGUGUCCCUCCUGUCCUGAGGAGCCCAGAACUGGACACAGCACUCUGGAUGUGCCUCAGCAGGGCUGAGCAGAGGGGCAGGAUUCUUUUCUGGGAAGCAAUCUUCCACAGUUUGCAUGGAAUCCAGGGACUUUGCUGUUCAAAUCCAGGGUGAGUCCUGCAGAGUUGGAAUUGCUUGGGAGGCAGAAGAGUUUGUAACGUGAUUUUUCUCAAAACCCGCUCUGGUGUUCUGCUCUGGUGAAAUGAUGGAGCAUUCAGCUCUUAGCCCUCGCCUUCCCUCAGCUCCAUAAACUCCUCCUCUGCUCUGGUACCUCGAUAGGAAAAAGGAGUUUGUGGAUAAAUAAAACUGGAGUCAGUGAACUUGAGAACCACCCUCAAGUUUAUUCAUUAUUUCAGUGUUAUGAUGUUCCUUGCAUACCAUUCCCAAUGCUGGCAAUGUAUUCAUAAGGAUUUUUUUUAUCACCUGUUACUGUUGAUUCUAUUUGAAUGCUUCAAAACCAGCUUUGACUGCAUAACUUAGAGCUAAAAGUAUUUUUCUAGUCUGAUUUUUUUUUUUUUUUUUUUUUAAAAUAUAUCUGUCGUAUCCAUGACUGGAGCUGGAACACUUCCCUUUUUCCUGGCAGCUUUUUGGGAGAGCUCUGAAGUCUAAAUAAAAUGAGUGGUGAACGCUGUUCUUGCUGGGAAUUGUUGUCCAGUUGUACAGGAGAGUUCACAUGAGACUGUGUUUUAUCGGUUAAUUUUUUUUCAAACGUGGUCAUUUUGUGCAUCAAGGUACAGUCAUAGUACUGUACAGGCCAAGUAAUUAAAGGAGGAUUUUAUUUUUUUUCCAUUGUGAGGGUGGGAAAGGGGAUCAGAAGAGAUGAAAGCCAUGGUUGGGCUGGUGCCAGCAGGGACAGAUCCACCUUGAAGCAAAGGCAUGCCAGGAACCAGUCAGAAAUGUGACUGGAGCUGUUCCUGCUUGCAGCCCUCAUCCAUGCUCUGAAAAGGAUUCUCCUCAGUUUGUCAGGAAGUUCUGGGAUGCCGUGGAACGCCUGUGAUCUUCCCAGCGAGGCACUCCUUGGUGUUUUAUUGGCAGUUCCUGGAAUGUGAGGGUUUGGCUUCAGAGCCUGAGUGGGGAGCCAGAGAUGCUGAGUGUGUCAUAGUGAGGAACUGCAGUGGAGCUGAACAGAACUUGCCACACCACUUGAAGGAAAUCUGGUUCAGCCAUGGUCACUCUCCCUUUAGUGCUCUUGCAGUAGCUGGUCACUUCUGCACCGUUUUUUCAUUCUUGUGGAAGGAAGCUUCUCCAAGACCAUCCUUUUUCUGUUCAUCCAUCCUACAGUCUUGACACUUUCCUGGGGCUGGAGAACCAUUGGUACAGACCUGGCCGUGGUGAGGACUGACAGGCAUUUAAAUCCAUUUUUAGCCCAGUAGGAAAACCGCCCUGGCUCUUCCUCCUCAUUUGCUCAGUUUCUCACAGUCUUGUGAGUCCUUGGCUCCUCAUUUUCUAUUUAUCCAUGCAGUUGCAGGUACACAAGUAAAUACAGCUUGGAAAGAAAACAAAGAAAACACAACUCGGGGUUUCAAGUGUCUUUUUACAGAUUUUUCUCAUUAUUCUGAGUUUUCUAAGCACUCGUCACAAGUCUGCACACUCGGUGUUGUGAGAUAAAAGGACAGACGUAGAAGGUAAGGCUGGUUUUGGGGGGUGGGGAUGGAGAGGGGUAGUUCCUAGGAUGGAAUUGCAGUGGCUCUGCAAACUCUGUCCCACUGAGUGCAGCAGACACUUGGAUCUUGGAAGAGCAGUGGAGUGACCCUGGACAGGCAGUAAAGAUGGAGCUUUGCUUUCUGUGCUGCUCAGUUUUGGUUUAUUGGCAGCAGAACAAAAAUGGGAGCUGCUUGGACACCCAGACUCCAGAAAAAAUCAAUGCCUGUCAAAAUUUGCUUGGUGGGGGCAUAUUUAUAUUUUCCUGGUGGGCAAGCCUGUCUCCAAGUCACCUGGAGUCCCUCCUGCUGGUGUCCUGGGGAUGAGGGAUAGGUGUGGCUCUGUUCUUGGAUUGGAUCCAUGAUGGAGAGCCCUUGGAAGGCUCAGCACAGCUGUAGGAAAAGCCUCUCCCACAGCAAGCCCUGUGCGACGGAGGAGCGAUGUUUACCUUAAAACAGUGUUAGCAGCUGUUCAACUUCUGGGUAUAUUUGUAAAAUUGGUCUUUUUAUAUGCCGUGUGAAAUGGACUGGAAUAAUUUCUUUUGCUGUUGUACCUGUGGAAGUACAAGCCAUUUUACAGGGAAAAAAAAAACAUUAUAAACAAAUUAAAAUAUUAUCUCAGUAUUGUCUCCGACUCCUUUGGUUUGUUUUCCCUGCUGGUUGGUUGUCAGAUCUUGACUUUGAUUUGCAAAAAAACAUGAACAACUACAAAAAUAAGCAGUUUCUUUUACUCUUUUAUCCCCUUUCUACUCAGCAAACAAAACCCGAAGCCUUUGAUUGAGGAUUCCUAAACAUUGGAGGUAGUGGAGCGUAUUCAGGUGUGAGUGCCCUGGAAUUCCAGUUAAUUCCCUUCCCUGAUUUUUAAAUUGAGCUGUUUGUUUUCAAUGCCAGCUGCCUUCUCGCAGGGUUAACGUAAUUGCUAAAUAAAAGCAAUUUCCAGGAAUAAUAUGCUUUGUGACUCUUAAAAUUAAUUUCCAUAAUGUGAAUUCAGUGUUUUGUUUUCCAUCUGUGUAUUCUGU
rnacentral:lncRNA from 13 species